rfam:Triticum aestivum genome assembly, contig: Triticum_aestivum_CS42_TGACv1_scaffold_345164_4DL
CAUGUACUCCCGCCGUUCCAAAUUACUUGUCUUAGAUUUGUCUAGAUACGGAUGUAUGUAUUGUUUAGAUACGGAUGUAUUUAGACUCAUUUUAGUGCUACAUACAUCCGUAUCUAGACAAAUCUAAGACAAGUAAUUCGGAACGGAGGGAGUACAUG